AUUGAACGCUGGCGGCAGGCCUAACACAUGCCAGUCGAACGGUAACAGGAAGAAGCUUGCUUCUUUGCUGACGAGUGGCGGACGGGUGAGUAAUGUCUGGGAAACUGCCUGAUGGAGGGGGAUAACUACUGGAAACGGUAGCUAAUACCGCAUAACGUCGCAAGACCAAAGAGGGGGACCUUCGGGCCUUUUGCCAUCGGAUGUGCCCAGAUGGGAUUAGCUAGUAGGUGGGGUAACGGCUCACCUAGGCGACGAUCCCUAGCUGGUCUGAGAGGAUGACCAGCCACACUGGAACUGAGACACGGUCCAGACUCCUACGGGAGGCAGCAGUGGGGAAUAUUGCACAAUGGGCGCAAGCCUGAUGCAGCCAUGCCGCGUGUAUGAAGAAGGCCUUCGGGUUGUAAAGUACUUUCAGCGGGGAGGAAGGGAGUAAAGUUAAUACCUUUGCUCAUUGACGUUACCCGCAGAAGAAGCACCGGCUAACUCCGU
rnacentral:rRNA from 1 species